CCCCGUCAUGAGUACCAACGACCAUACCGGUGUUACAUACUCAACAAAUAUAUUUUCUGCACUCGUACGGUCAACUGCUAGCGUAGAACUGCAUAAUUCCAUGCUUCAUGCUGCAGCUUCAGAAUCGCAUGGCCCAUUUGCAAGAAGCUCAGAUCCAGCAUUGGACAUUGUUAUGCACUACAUCAAGCCCGUAAGGUGUGGUGGCCGUGAAUCUCCCGUAGUAGUGGUCGACCUUGCGAGACGAUUUAAUGUCCUAGCCUUGGCACAGCAAGUUGGCGAGCCACAUCUGCUGGACAGCCUAUCACGUCUGCAUGUGGUACACUGCCCUUGCCCAGAGUCCAUAUUCUGCACAGUAGAGAAACUGCUGCUCAGUGUUGUGCCUAUUGCACUGCUUGCUAUGUAUGCAGUACCCAUGCAUCGCUGGCACAGCCCUCACGGAAACUUGCUGGUGGCACGCCUUCAAGAGCUGGCCACUGCUCAUGGAGCCAAAUUCUAUGCGACACGACCCACAGUGCGUCUUUGGAGCAGACCUAAUGAAGCACGUCUUGCGUGUGAAUCUGGCAUCUCUGAGGCGUAAAUUAAACUGUUCUGGAGGAAACAAAGUACAUUACUGCACUUAACAAAACUGUUGGUGCCCAGGUAUGGCUAGAGAUAUCAGAGAAUUUUAAUUUGUCCAUAAACUUGUAUGAAUGAAUGAGUGAACCAGCACUUAAGCAGUACACGGGGUGAUCAUCUUUAAGUUCCUCAGAAUUUUUAAAAAUCGCUUGUUGCAGAUAGCAUAGCUUUUAGUCCUUGUGCUGGAUUAUUCAGAGAGGUGGACAUUACUUGCACAAGAAAUCCAAACAUAUUCAGCUUAAUAAAACAUCACUAAUUAAUUUCUCAAUUACAUUAGGUCAUAUAUUGCAAGUUACUAAUUGUAGCCGGUGAGUUUGCAAGGCUAUCCACUUGGAAUGAACUUCCAGAAUAACACUGAUUCGAAGAUAUGCACCAUCAAACACACCGUAAAAAUGCACUGUUGUUCCUCUUACUUUAAGAAAAUGCUCUUUUGUGCAUUGAAGCACAAAAGUAACUGGAACACCCAUGUUCGUCUAACACUUUGGGAAAUAUAUUGAAGCUGGUGUCAUCCUGGAGAUUCAUUUCAAGUGUAUAUGUAUUGCAAGCUCACCACCUGCAAUUUGUAAAUUGCAAUAUGUGCCAAAAAGUAGUUAAUUAUGAAGUUAAUUCGCGAGUUUUUGUUAAUUCGUUGAAUAUGUGUUUUGCUUUCUCGUGCCAGUAAUGUCAGCCUCUUCAAAUAAUGCAGCUCGGGGCCAAGGAUUAUGCUAUUUGCCGCAAGCAUCUUUUAACAAUUUUGGAAAACUUAAGAAUCAUCACCCUGUAUGCAAGUCACUACAGUAUGAGCUUUGUGUGUGCUCUGGUUAAAUUCUGCAUCAUCAGAUGUUGCUACCAGCAUCAUUGCUGUAAAGCCCCAGGGGCUUUAUGUUGCUGCUGUAUACCUCUCUAGUAACCAGGUAUUUCGCAAAUGGCAGUACAUCUACAGAUACACAAACUCUCUAUUAUAGCCUUUGUGCCCCAUGAACAUCUCUAUGAGGCAUUUUGUAUGCUAGAUGUGACGUGUUUUAGCUGCUCCCACUGUAGUGUCAUCUUCAUCACUGCUGCUACUUAUUCUUACAUAAACUACAUCCCAUAUCUACAUCUGGUAACUGUCCUUAACAAGUACCUUCCACUUUGCCCAUCAGUCACCCACUCCUUCAUUAGCAUGUUGGUGUUUAGCUCCACCUAUAUUGUCACCAAUAUUGUCUCAUCACCUCUUUUCAGGCUGAUCUCAUUUUCUUGUCACCAGAGAAGGUGAUCAUUGCAGAUACAGGUCUAACAAACAAACAAACACACCAUCUUCGUCUUCCUUGAUUAACACAACGCUAAAGAUCAACAAAUCAUUUUAUAAUGGAAACAUAUUCUCUCAAGACUGUUUCAUCCAUUUGGCAGAAAAAGGAUGAUUACUAUUGCUGCACAAAAUGAAGACCAAAUUUGAUUUUGUGCAUAAUUGUGCAUUUUCACAAUUUUUUUCCUUCAGCACUGAAACUUAUGCCUGUAUGCAUGUCAUCGCGACAUCAUGGAUUUGAAUCUGUUUUCUUCUACAUGGGUUGUUUUAGACCAGAAAAACUUAAACUUGCUAGGUUGUAUCUUUGGUUUCCUUGGAAUGCAAUGCAGCCCAUCUUUAUCGAUAAACAAUUCAACUGGACCUGAUUAGACACUGAAAAUCCACAACAUCACGGUGAGCUGAUGCGAAAACUUCGUGGUAGUGCCGUCACCAGUCUUUCAUUUUUGCACCUUUUCUAUAUUCCCAAGCUUCCUUUCGCACUAAGAGCAGAGGUUUUGCUAAGCAGAAGUGUAGUUUAUCAGUACAGUUUAAUACUUCUCUUUACUGUCCCUUUGACAUUUGCUACAAUGCCUUGGACAAUGUUUCAUGAACAAUGCAAUCACAAACAUUCUUGAUGAACCAUCUACUUAGUGUCUGCAGUUCAGCCACUUGAAACUUCUGUAGAUUGCAUUUCUUCACAUCCUUGCAAAACUACAAGUUAUACGACUCAUAAACUUGUCAUAUUUACUUAGCUAGUGCCUUGUUGCACCAAACUCCUAAAACAACUUUGCCAUCCUGUCUUGACUCUACAGCCACCGACAUCCCAUGCUACUUUCUUUAUCCACCACAGCACUGAAAUACAUGAACAAAGUCGUUGCCUCGACUGUUGUGCCAUCCAAUGUUAGGUCCUUGUUUAGGAGGAAGCUGUAGUUUGAUCCCAACUCCGAUGUCGCCUAUUCAAAUACAUGUAAAACACAGAAACGCUUUUCUGAGAUAACCACUGGGCCAAUUUUAAUGGAAUUUGUUGCAUUUGAAAGAGAAAGUUAAAUUCUAGUGACUGCUGGAAGUGGAGUUUUGAUUUAUGGCCUGAAUGUUUUAAAAGGUACUUUCAAAUAUUGAUAAGCUUGAAAAAAAAAAAAUGGAAGCAUGAAGCUUACAAAUUGGUAGCUCUGCACUAAGAACAGAUCUCGCAGUUUUGUAAACUGCAUCCAUUAGAGAAUUCGAAGCAGACAAAUUUGAUAUAUCAAAUUACAUGUAAUGUGAACUUUUUGCAGCUUUAACAAGGGUUUUGCAAAGUCCUACUCGCAUACUACUAGUCUAUUUGAGAGCCACCUAUAGUACAUCAAUUUUGUCCACUUUAGAUGUACUACUAGAUGCAAUUUACAGAAUUGUGAUAUCGUUUUUCAUUGCCGAGUUAGAGAGUUAUAAACUUGAUAGUUUCGUUUUCUGGAAAUUAGCGAUAUUGAACAGUCUUUAUAAAAGAUUGACGGCCUAAAUCAGAAAUUGGCGACCAACAAUCGCUAGAAUAACCCUUUAUUUUAACUGCAACAAACCGCAACAAAUUUGGUGCAGUGGUUGCUGAGAAAAACAAUUUCUCCUUCCCAUGUAUUCAGGUAGGAGCGCCCGAACUAAAGGUUCCUCUUACGGCCUUUCCGUAUUUAUUUUAUUUAUUUACAAUCAUCAUCAUCAUCAGCCUGGUUAUGCCCACUGCAGGGCAAAGGCCUCUCCCAUACUUCUCCAACUACCCCGGUCAUGUACUAAUUGUGGCCAUGUUGUCCCUGCAAACGUCUUAAUCUCAUCCGCCCACCUAACUUUCUGCUGCGCCCUGCUACGCUUCCCUUCCCUUGGAAUCCAGUCCGUAACCCUUAAUGACCAUCGGCUACCUUCCCUCCUAUUUACAAUACUGCUACUCAUUUGAGUCUUUCAGUUGGGCAAUACAGUAUAUCUUAAUGUAUGUCAGUACGCAGGAUUUAAGUAUAAAACAUGGUUAAAGCGCAUCUAGGCAGAAUAGUUAAAUGAAAAAAAAAAAUGCACGAUACUUCAGGCCAGGCACUCCAUUUUGCAUCUGUUAAGCUCUCAAACAGCAUUUUAUCCAGUGCUCCAGCUUUCUUCUGAUGAAGUGCAGAGGCAAACUGACAACACUUGUGAAUUCAUAUUACAAGAAAAUAAAAUAUGUCAACCAUA